GCCCGGCCCUGCGGCCCCCGGCGGGACCAGCCGGGGGUCCGGGCGAGAGCGGCCCCGCCCGCGGCGGGAAGAUGCCCAGUGUAUGACAGCAGGGAAGACUACGGAGCGUCUUUCAGGAUGUAAAAGCUGUCAUUUGUGCAUCCAAGGAAGGACUGUGCUAUGAAGAUAUCCAAGCAUCACUGAGGGUGUGACCAAUGCUCUUCCUGCCUAACCCUACAGGCCAGUAAUUUCCCUCGACUGUCCUUGGCUGUACAGAAGAAGGACUUGCUAAUGCUGGGUGCCUGCCUGUGCUCUGUGAUGAGAUGCAGCAAAAUCCUGUCCUCAAGCCUCCUUCCUAAGAUCAGCAGAAAUCAUCAAUAGAAUUGUUUACUUCUACGAAAAUCCUAAAAAAGCUGUACAGACCACAACAACAAUGAACCUGGCCGCUGUUGGGAUGUGUGCACUGUGCCAUGAUCCAUGAAAGGGCUCAUCCAGGACUGUGAUAGCAUUGCCAGCAUCAGCAGGAAGAUCCCAAAGGAACGGGUACCUCCUUGGUGCAAAACAAGAUGCUGGGAGAUCCUUCUAUUUUCAGCAUGGCUUUGGUUUCGUGAAAAUCCACUGGACAGCUCAUUGAGGGCACAUCAUUCUUACCAGACCAUGGAAAAGUAGAAGAAGAAAGCCAUUCAUUUUUCUGAAGCCAUUGAGCAUUAGGAGCCCCUGGAGUCUACAUCUUUAGGUUUGUACUUAUCAAUUGCUUUGAAUAAGAGCCUGAAUUUCUCUCUGUAUCUUCACUAUUACUUGACCUUCACAUAAUUCUGCAAGGACAAAAGACCUGGGGGUGGAGACAGGUAUAACAGAGCUGGAAAGUUGCAAUACUAGCAAAAAGAGCAUACCAACAGGAAACAUCCUUCAAAAUCUCUGCUAUGACUCCUUUCCAGGGGGAGCAACCAAUUAGCUAAAAAUGCAAAUUAUUCAAUAUCACAGAGCUAGUGCUGUAAGAAACAAGUGUUCUGACAGCUGUUUGAUCACUUAGUAACCCGUGGGGAAGUGGAUCAUCUGCACUUUCCUGUAACCUGACACUGCAUGAUUUUGAAAUUUUGACCUCAAGUAGAAGUGCCAAAGACUUUUGAAAUUUCUAGUUAUAGUAUCCAGAUAAAUAGGAGCAAAAUUAAAAUUAAAGUACUCUAAAAUACCUCACCUGUAAUCAAUAAAACUCAAACACUUGGCUGUUAAUUUCUAUUUUAGGAAUUAAUGCUAGGUUUUCUUAGGUAUUCUUGGGCAAUUGUCCUUUCAUUUUUUCACUCUAAAAGAAAAAAAGUAAAUUAGGAAAAGUAUAAAAUUAUAUCCAGAUAUUAGAAGUGCAAAGAACUAGUAAAUCACCUAUUGGAAAAGAAGACACUCUCUAGAUGAUAUCUGAUUUGUAGGGCAGAAGUAAACAGUGCCAUAUACUAGGUUUUGCUUGUCCAGCCUAGGGCCUGCUCAUGCUGGAACUUCCCUUUGGCUCAGGUGACCAUGUUUCAAUUACAGAAACCAGGGUACAGAGCUGGUGGAUGGAUAUCCUCCUGACAUCAACAAGCAGCACUUCCUUGAUCAGGAUCCUUUAUCCUGCAGUUUAGUGAUGGCAUACUUAGAAUGUGCCCAAUAUUUUUCAGUCCUAUACACUCUGUAUUCUUUUGGUAUUCAAUUUUGAGCAUGUAUAAAGAGACUUGCUAUUUUAAUUUUGAAAUGGAAAAAAAAAAAAACAAAAAAAAGAAGAAACACUUCAUCCAGCAAGCAAUGAAUGAAUUUCCCAGGAAAUUGUCAUGCAGGCAUCUACUAAGAGUAAGAUAAAUUUACAAAAAUAAGUCUGGUCACUGGGAAACUUGAGUAUGCCAAGUGAUUGUGUUUGUUGGGAUGGAUGUGUAGCCCUGCACUGAUGCAUUUAGCUGCUUCUGUAGGAACACAUUGGCCUCGUAGCUGGAUGCUCUCCACAGAGAUCAUAUAUCAUAGAAUGGUUUGGGUUGGAACCUUAAAGACCAUCUAGUUUCAAGCCUCCUGCCGUGGUAAGGGACAUCUUCCACUAGACCAGGUUGCUCCAAGCCCCUUCCAUCCCUUUAACAAUUCCAAGGAUGAGGCAUCCACAAGUUCUCUGGGCCCAAUCCACAGCUGACUGGGAAGAUAAUUCAUCCUUAGCUCCACCUCAAAGGAUGGGUCAGUCUGUGCAAAGUACUGACAUGUUUUUCCCAUGCCCUCCUCUCUUGCUAGGCUGAGCUCAUUCAGAGGAUGGCCACCACGCCUGGGUCUGGGCCCAGGAGAUGCAGAGAAACACUCGUGAAAUGCUUUUGGGCUUUAAACCUGAUUUUGGUGCCUGAACCUCCCUGUGUGGUCAGGUCUCCCAUGGUCUACCCACCUCGACAUCAGAAAUACAGAGAAAUAGAGGUUGUUACUGGGAGUACAAAUGGCACCAAGAGUUUUAGCUACCUGAAGGUAAAGCAAUUGAGGAGCCUUGAGGAAAGUGGAAUGUCUGUGGCACCUACAUGAAGCCUCAUGCCUAAAUGCCAUCAUGAAUUUAGGAUCCACUUACAAUUACCCCUGCCAUUCGGGGCAGAGGUAGCACUCGAAAGACUUAAAUUCUUGCAUGAAUCCAUAGCCAAACAGGAGGCAGGGAGGGACAGAAUAACAACUUGCUAUUUUGUCCUUGCACCUGCAUGCUCUGUUUUCCAUGGGUGAAAAAGAGGACCACUCAUUGCUAUGCACUGACUGCUGACAGGCAGGAAACAUGACUUCCUUGGCAUCUUAUUACAUAAGAAACACAUCAGCAGAAAUUAAGUUGCUCCUUGACAAAAUCCAUGGUGCCGUGUGUCACUUCUGACAGAAUAGCCAUCUCCAUAAGCUUCAUUUGAAAAUGAGAGAAAAUGAUUUUGUGGGGAUGACAGGAUGUUCCAGCUGCUGCAGAUUAGACAAGUCACCUUCAGCACACUCUGUAUGCCAACCUGAACAGGCAGUAAAGAGAAAGUGGAUGAUGAAGCACUGCUAAUUUGCAAAACACUUAACCUGUAUGCAAUUAUCAUAUAUAGUGCCUCUAGCAGAUCAGCUCUGCCACUUUCUGCUCUUACAAAACAGCAGACCCAUGCUGGGGAUCACCACAGGACUAUAGUUUCAUGCAAAUGGAUUAAAAAUGUAGGAUGCUGUGUAAUUUUCCACAAACCUGCUUAUUUAAUUGGUGCUGCCAGAAAAGGCAGUACUCCUCAUUUCCUGAAGAAGUUAGAGAGGCACAAAACAAAAUAAAAGAGCAUUUCCUUUCUAGGCAAAGGCGAUUUGUGUAAAUAUUAGGGGUGAAUGGGUGGCAUUGAAUUUUUUCUGUAGUUUUUUAUCACAACAGGAACCUAAGGUCAUUAACUACAGAUAGAAUAUACUUCCUAUUGCACAGCUAAGAUUACUACUAAAUCAAAAGCUGCAAGGUUUCAGAAAGUUGUAAUGAUUAGACUUUUUUAUAAAUCUGUUAACUAAAGUGGCUGCUUUAAGGAAGAACAAGUGGACUACCUGAACCACAAAUCAAUGGGUUUUAUUUGUGUUUGAAUUAAAACAAAUAGUAUAGAAAUUAGGUAGUAGUUCUUUUCCUGCUUUUGCAGAGACAUUAAAGAGUCUGACAUUAAACCCUCUGGCAUUUCUGUUGCAUUUCUGAUUUCUCAAAUGCCCUGUUUUUCAGCUGAAGUGCUUUAUCUGUAUACUGAAAAUGUGUAAGUGCAAGAUACUUACCUGAGCUCAAAGUCUCCAAUAUGGGGGUUUUCUGAAUUACAAAAGAGCUGGAAAUGAUAUCUUGUUUACCAAAAGAAGAUGUUUAUUAGAAUUAUCCUUUCCUUAUUGCUGUCCAUCUGAACUACCUAGAGGCCUUUCUUCUUUCCUGCCUAUCAAGACCCAUUCUGAGACAGAUAAGUAAAUUACAGGUACAGUUUUGGUUCAACUGCAAAAGAAAACACCACCCUCGUAAAUUCUGACAAAUGCCAGGAGCUGUAUUAACUAGCUCCUUUCGUGUGGAGAAAGGGGACAUAUUCCCAGAGUCUGCUAUGUUACAUGGAUCUUGAGGGAACUGCAGCUCUGAGGUCUAUUUUCUGAGGUUUUAUCCAACUGCAGCAAGUCUCACCAUCUCCAUUAGAAUGGGAAAUCUGCAGAGGCAAUGUUACCAAAAAAAAGUUUUGGCUUAUAAUUUGUUAUGCCCACAAAGGUCUUGGCCAGGUCUGUAUGAGACAGGUGCAUACCUGUCCCACAGCAGAGAUCUGCUCAUCCCACGUGUUAAGGCAAUGGGUUGUGCAGAGCCCACUGAGUAGUAGGCCCGAGGGGCUGACCAGGCAUAGGCAGGUCUGCCAGACAUUGUAGAUUUAACCAACACCCCCCAUCUCUGCAAUUCAUCAUGCAGGCUCCUUGCACUUGGGGGAGCCUUUUUCAUAUCUCAAAUUCUGUUGCUCCAAGCAUUUCAUACAAUGGCCUCAGACCUGACACAAGAAACAUUGUUUUCUGUGUGGUGAUAAAGUGAUGCCCCUGAGGGAAACAUGGUGAUAAUGCUCCUCCCUCUGUUAAAAUAGAUUCUGGGUGUCAGGUAUAUCCUUUAUAUCAAAAAUAAAAACUGCUGCAAGUGGAAUCACCAGAAAUGUCAUUUAUACCAGGGACAAUACCCUGCAGCUGUUCAGGGUUCCUGCAUGAAUCUUUCAUUUGUUUGUGCUUGUUCCUCUUUGUAGUGAUGAGACACAAAUAUUUAAGCAUAACAGGCUGAAGGGCCUGGGUAUCAUCAUUAAACAGGCAUGGGCAGAAAUGGUACCUGUGCCAGAUGAUCUCACUUGGUAUGAGUCUAGAAAUCCUGCUGCAACUAUUGAACAUACACAAGAAUUUGGCAGCAGACUCUCAGGGAUUCAUCAGAGGACUUUUGCUGCUAUGCUUUUGUGAAGCUAUGGCUGCUUCUAUGAUAAUAAAAUUUCUAUUCUCUUUUGUACACCUGAACGUUCAUGUAUUUAUUCUCUUUAUGCUCCUUUGGCUGGCACAUGGCACCAAGGAAAAGAGGGGGAAUUAUUCAUUGCUACAACCCAGAUGGGGAACUGAAGUCAAUGGGUGUUUUUGUGAGGGGGUGCACUGAGUUCAAGGUCAGCUCAUAGAUGUGAACACCUUAUUAGAGAAUGGGAUCCCUGUCUGCUUCAAUGUCAUAAGUGUAAAGUGGUUUUUCCUCCCUAUUUUUUAAGCACUUCUAUGUAGUAUUUGGUUUUAUUUCUGUUGCAUAGUUUAUGAAUUUUAGAGUCUUCAAACAGCAGAAAUUUAGCUCUCCUGCCAGUUUAGCCUCACCAUUCUGCUUUCUCCAAACAAACCAGAAUGUCUGUCUUACACCUGAGAGUAUGGGUGUCUGUCUAGCAGUAGCUCCUGGCCCACAUGAGAGUUACCACUCACUGCAGCUUUCAGGAGUAACCAGACCAGCUAAACACUACUGAACAACUGCCCCGGGGUCAAACAAGUCUCUCCUGGCUCUGCUGCUCAGCACAAAGCCAUGGUCUCAGUAUCAGUGCCAUGUGCCUGACUAGACCACUUCUGCUUGAGUGACAGCCAGCAAGUAUGUCUCUUCGAUAAUUUUAUCCAAAGACUCUUAUUCUUCACCUUGGCCUACUUUCUGUCACUUUUUUUUCAGUCAAAUAUGAAGACAACAAGUAACUCUUGGUAUUUUUAUUAAUUUAUUUCUUGUCCAUGAAUCCAGUAAACCUCCCAACAGCUUUCAAUUUUGAUGGGCCCAGGGAUGAGAAAACACUUCCCUAAGUGUUCUGGACAUGCUCUGUUCAGACAUGUUCUGAACUCUAACUUCAGCCUGCGAUUACCUGCCUGGUGCAAUAUCUCCCUGCCUAUGUUAACAUUAAGAUUUCAUCCCAGUAUUACCAUCUAACAAUGCCACAAACAUUUACACUAAUUUUGAAGUCAAGAAAGGGCAAUGAUAUUUUGCCACUGCAAUAAUGUUUGUGAAGCAUUCAUGAAAAAUGACAGGCAGGGAAACAAGAAUAAUUGGAGCUAAUGGAGACAAAAAUCCACAGUUAUAAAGAUAUAUGGCACUUUAGAAAAUUGAUUUAGUACCUCUAGCCAAAAGCAAGAGGGAGAGCACAUGAUAUCCAAUCAUUCACAAUCUACUUAUCAUGAGUCUUCCUGAUUGAAUUGGUAUCAGUAUAAAUCAGCAAAGUAAUACAAUUGAUACCAGCCAUGCUCUACUGAUACAAAGUCAGUGUGAGAUCAGAAUCAGUUUGAAGAUACGGAUUUGAGUUACCUUACUGUAUGCUACUUGGUAACAUAAAAUAUUAUGAAGUAAUUUUUAAAUCUACAUGUGACUUAAAGCAAGAUCAGAUGUGCAGCAUUUUGCAGCUCUUGUAUCAGGACCUGAUAAAAAAGAAAAGUUGCUUUAGUGUUUUCUGCAAAAUAAAGAGUCAUACUUGCUAGGUUAUCAGUUCGUUUUUCUUUGGAAAGGGUCUUGUUCCUAGCAUUCGCCAAGCAUCACUUGUCUCUUUUUUUUUAAAGCAGAAACUAUCGCUGCCCUUGACUUCUCAAGGAAAAGCUGAAUUUCUUGACAUGCAAUAGAAACUUUGAAAAUAUUCAAUAUGGACAGGGAUGUUUAGGUAUCGAAUUAAAGCACAAGGCAGAAAACAGUUUGAGAGAUUACCUAAUACAUUUCUAGUUGAUAUAAUAUGUUGAAUUUGCUCUGUGCUCUGCUCUCCAGCCAGAUUCUGGCAGUGGGAGCAGAACACAUUACGCCAUUUCUGCAAAAGUUCUAUCAUUAGAUGCCUAAAUAUAAAUGUAGUCAUUUUGUUUCAUAUACUUGGACAUUAUGACUAUUUAUUUUUUACCAGUUUGUCUUAGUCUGAGUGUUGCUAAAUAUUACAUAUAUAUAUAUAUAUAUAUAAUUUGAUAUUUAACCUGUGAUCAUUGACUUAAUUUAUGUAACAUAUGGCUAAAUUAGACAACUAUUUUCUCCCAUAUGGUGCAAUGGCCAGGAGGUUGGUAAUUCAAGCAUUUAUUCAUUUCAUUGAGGCAUUCCCUCUGUCAGAAAUAGUUCUCCAUCCAUCCUUUUGCUGAAAUUCCCUGAGGAGUAACAAGAGGAUUUAUUGGCUGAUAAUAAUGGAUAUCAUGACUGGUAUCCCUUGAGCAUUCAAUAUCUGACACACACAACAGAUUUCCUCCACUCUGAAAAAGAAAGUGUUUUGCCUGAGCACAUCCACUUUGUAACGAUGUGUGAAUCUGUGGCGUGCCCUUGUCAUCUUUUUGAGCAGAAGCAGAGAAUGCUGUUGAGCUUGGGGUUCAACAAGAAAUUUUUGCAUGUACAUAUUACUUCUCCCAUGGCGUUUUCAAAAAAAUGUACUUGCCUUUGAUGAUUUACAACCGAAUUUUUUGUUUCCUUCUUCAAGGGUCUCUCAGAAGAUAUUUUUCUCUGUGUCUUCCUUCUUCUUGCAAGAGAAAUACAUCUUAAACUAAACAUGCUUCACAGGGUGAUUUACCAUCUCUAAUGGUUUGUCUUCCACUGUCAGUGAUUGUUAAAAACAAUGAAAAGAAAUUGGGAAGAAAGGCAGAUAUUUGGUCUUUUAGCACUAAAAAGCCAGUAAAUUCACUGUACAGGAAUUUAAGAAAAAAGAUUAUUCAAGCAAAAUGUAAACGAAUCCACUAAUUAUGCACAAUUCAUACAUUUUCAGGAAAGACUGAGAAAUAACUGCUGUUAAGAAGCCAAGCUUUCAAAUUAGGCAAAGUUCAGUGAGUAUACUGUUCUUAAGAUGAAACUUUCAAAAUCUUCAAUUCCGUAUUAUGCCACUUUCUUGAAAUUACAGUGUUAACUUGCAUGAGCGAACAGCAUUAGGAAGAUGUGAAAGAAAAUGAAAUAAAAUUGUGUGGAGACAAUGACUGUCAUGAACUCAAAAUAUCUUUUUUCAAUUUUGUGAGGUUUUGCUUUGCCUCUGAGAAUUUUUCUUCUUUUCCGAAAGGUGCGAGCUGACUAGUAAUAGCACCAGAGUAUUUCACUGUCCCCAUUCAUCCCAUUUUAAUAUAUGUAAGUGUCAUACCACACUUUGAAUUGAAUCACUUGCUCUCUAUCCAGCCAUCCACCCAUCCGUUUGAAUUGUUUAUGGUCAGUGGAAGGGGGCCUACAGUUUGGUAUACAGAAACUUCUCUCUAGUGUUUAAAACAAGGCUAUUUCACCAAACUAUUCAUCACAGUGUGGCAACUAUACAGCUGUGAGGAUAGAAUCAUUUAGGUUGGAAAAGAUCUCUGAGAUCAUCAAGACCCUCUGCUCCGGUGCAUGUCUGUUGGGCAUGGUGGUCUCAAAGUGGUGUCUGAGAUCUGUGGGGCAUUUAUGUGCUACAUUACCUCAACCUUAGACCUGCAAACCAUUAUUUUAUCCUCUGGACUAUGGCACAGCUCUGGAAAUGGCCUACCAUGAUAGCAAGCAUGGAAAAGUAGUGAUCUCUUACUGUCAGUUGCAUCUUUACCACCAAUAUCUUGACAUGAACUGAGGGCUCAUUGAACAGUUGAGUGAAUGAAGUUUCAAUACUAGAUUUGUUCAUGGAGUCCUACUAACACAUGCUAAGUGUGCCCUUAGCUAAUUUGCAAGCACACCCUAAACCUGCCCACACAGUCAAAAUAGAUAACCAUGUCUCAUAUGAAAGACAGUAAGAAGAGAGAAAGUAAGUAAUUGAGAACUAAAGAAAGAGAGUAAGUGACUGAGAACUAGUAGCUCUCAUGCCUCCUCUCUGCUGUACCUUGCUGCAUGAGCAUCCCUAGUAAGCUGAAGUUAUUGGCCUGUCUCUGCCUUUGAUUUUUGAUUGCCCUUUCAAAGUGGUCACAGUCCUAGCUAGCAUCUAGCACAGGGAGUGGGAACAUACAUUCAUGCAUCUAAUAUAUCUAUUCUGUAUGUUUUGUUUGGGGGUGUAUAUAUAUAUAUAUAUUCUGUGUAGACACUGAUGCUCUCUGUGUAACUUGAAGAUGGCAUUCUCUCUUCAACCCUGGCCCCUCCGUCCAUCUCCACAGAGCAAUUCAAAUGGGAAAAACAACACUAUUCCAGAGAAACGGUACCUGUAUGUACAGAUUAGACAAGGAUCUGAACUGGCUGAAUUGAUGGCUGAGGCCAACUGUAUAAGAUUCAACAAGGUCAAGUGCCAGGUCCUGCACUUGGGUCAUAACAACCCCAGACAAUGCCCCAGGCCUGGGGAAGAGUGGAUGUAAAGGUGCCCAAAGGAAAAGGACCUGGGAGUGCUGAUCAACAGCUGGAUGAACAUGAGCCAGCUUGUGCCCAGGUGGCUAAGAAGGCCGAUGACAUCCUGGUCUGUAUCAGAAAUAGUGUGGCCAGCAGGACCAGGGCAGUGAUUGCUCCCCUGUACUUGGCACCAGUUAGGCCACACCUCAAAUCCUGUGUUCAGUUUUGGACCCCUCAUGACAAGACAGACUUUGAGGUGCUGGAGCGUGUCCAGGGAAGGGCAACAGAGCAGGUGAAGGGUCUGCAGCACAAGUCUUAUGAGAAGCAGCUGAAGGAUCUGGGAGAAAAGGAGGCUCAGGGGUGAACUUCUCAUUCUAUGCAACUACAUGAAAGGAGGUUGUAGUGAGGUCGGUGUUGGUCUCUUCUUCCAAGUUACAAGUGAUAGAACAAGAGGAAACGGUCUCACUUUGUGCUGGGGGGGGCCUCACAUUGAAUAUUAGGAAAAAUGUUUUCACCUAAAGGGUUGUCAACCAUCAGGCUUCCCAGGAAAGUGGGAAGGAUGUGGUGAUUUGGCAUUUAGAGACACCAUUUAGAGGAUGUGGUGAUGUGGCACUUGGGGACAGGGUUUAGUGGUGGACUUGGCGUUGUUAGGUUAAUGGUGGUACCCAAUGAUCUUAUAGGUGUUUUCUAUUCUAAAUUGUUCUAUGAAUUUAUAAUCAGGGCAUGGACCUUAGUGGAAGGCAGCCUUUGAAUAUUUCCCCCUACCUCAAUGUUUUGUUCUUUCCUCUCGGUUUUGAGAAAAAACUAUAGAGCAUAAAAUUAUAAGUCUCUACAUACCUGCUAGGAUUUUUUUUAACUUCUGUAGUAAGAUAACCAUUUCUCCAGGGUUAUAAUUAGCUGAUUUUCCUCCAUAGGCCAUCUGUGCUGACGGAGGACAUGGUUCUUUGCAUUAGCACUUUUGAGCAAUACCCAAACAAUGUCUUUCUGUUAAGACUUACGUGCCCCAAAUCCAAUUUUUUCCCAGAAAAUUGGAGGAUUUUACAGGAGAAGCAUAGGUCCGUAGGUGAUUUAAAAUCUGUUUGUGCAACACUGAACUGUAUGGUAACUUAAAAAUCAAUAAAUUAAUGGCAUUCAAAGGUCAUUUUUUAAACAGAAAUUGGUAUUAACUUAUUGCUAUGGUCAUUGGCUGCGCAUACAAGAAAGAAUAACAGGUACAAUAGCACUUGAAAAAUGAAAGUGUGUUUAUCUCUUUAUGUAAUGCAAAUAUAAUAACUUGCACAAAAUGAUUGAUUAGUGUGAUGGAGCUCAGAGUGGGUGUCUAAUAGAUGAUGGAUAUACAAAAUAUGAAACCGAGAACAAUUUUCAUGUUCAUUUAACUUAUUCUUGAAAGUGUUUAAAAUUAGUAUUAAAAACUAUAUUAGGGGGAAUUGUCAGGAUUUGGUUGAAUGAUGCUCACUCAACACAGAUUAUCUGUCACUGGGCUACAGGUUAUUUGUUGAACUAAUGAUCUAAAACAUGAACUAAUCAAAAAUAAUAUAAGCUCAAAAGUGAUCAUAAAAGAAGCUGAUAGCAGUAUGACAGACAAACCACUCUGUGAGAACAAAAUAAGCAUGACCAAUGUGUACUAGGCAUCAAGGGGGUUUGGCAGCACAAUUUGUCAUUGGAUUUCUGUUUCUCACAGAUAUUCAUAAUUAAUGGUAAACCAUUUUCAGCUCCUUGAGUCUCUGGAUAGCAAGUAAAAGCUCAGAUAAAAUCUUCAAAUUAAAUAGAAUUGGAUUUAGUCCCUACAAAUCAGAUUGAGAAGGAUAUCAUCAUUGUUGCUGUGUUCCCGUUACAGCUGGCGAUGCCACUGAAGCAGUAAAAGUGCCAGUAGGAUAUAGCAGGUACAUAAACCUUGGGAAAGAGGAAGGUACGGAUAAGAGCUGAAGUCUCAGGAGCAGGCAGACAGACUCUGUCUGUCUGUAAAAUGGUGAAGACUUUCCACUCCUUCUCAGGGCUGAGGUCAGGCACCACACCCUUGGGGAUCUUAAGCAACCCAGAGUUGAGAUUCAAUCGAUGUUGACCUUGAAUCUGAAGGUUUCAGACAGAUAUCGCUCAAGGCGUACUGUGUAAACUCCUGUCAAAAAAAACUAAGCAAGUGGCAUCUCAGAAUAGCUUAGGAGAUUGAAAAUCUUUUUUCCUUUAUCUGAGGCAGUUCUUGAUAGAGUAGAUGAGCCUUAGCAGCCAAUAAUACUCAGAGGACACUUGCAAAUUACUUUGUUGAACGAGUCUGUUAAUGCAUAAUUGAGUAGACCAAUUACCAUUUCUUGUUAGACCUUUUGUGGCAAAAUUGCUUAUUUUUUCAUGGAUAUUCUGGGGUUUUUUUCAUAAAAUUUCUCAAAAUUGAUCAUAAAUCCUUGAUUUUAGCUUUUUUUGAUUUCCACUUUUCUGGGAAAAUAGCUCUAGAAAAUAACUUUUGUGCGGGGUUGGAGAAAAAAAAAAACUUCAAUAGGUUUUGAACUUGAUUUUUGCACCUUUUACACUUUAAAUUUUCUUUUGAGUUUUUUUCAAUCCUACUUAUGUCAUCACUUUGACCAGAAUCUCAAUGAAAAUUGUAGUUUAUAAUUUGAUCUAAUAGUGUUUGCUUAAAAUAAUAGCAUGAUAUGAAAUAAAAUGUAACCUUUUGUAAAUGGAUAGUUAUACUGACUGAAUGAUACCUCUUAAAUUACAAGACUAACUGAAAAAAAAGUCACCACCCAAAAGGACUGUCAACAGUCAAAUCACCCAAAGAUCUACUUUUAGCUUGCUGCAGUUUAAUAUUCUCAUCUAUGACACGGAAGAAAAUAUGAGUCAUUGCUGGUACUGCUUUCAGAUGGCACAAACAUUAACAGAUUGGGGAAUAAUUACAAGGAGAAGUCAAUUCUACAGGAUGAUUUGAAUGUCUUUUUAUUUUGGGUCCACAUAGAUGAAAAUCUCCCCUAAAGAGUUAAAGGCCUAUGGACACAUCUAUAGGGCUGCAAAACUAGGUAUCAAAGCCAUAGAAGUGCUGUGAGGACUUGAGUAAGUCUGUCUUGGAAAUGAGACUGUAUUGUGUGCAAUAAGUAUGGUUUGAAAUAUACGCUGAGCAAUAAAGGGAAAGCAAAAUGCUGAAUAACUGUCAAUAAGUGAACACAGUCUAUUUUAAUCCAUUGAACAAGACAGACAUACUGUGAAAAAGUAGUUUGUUCCUUUACCAUGACUUUAUGGUUUAAACCUAUCAUAUAUGGUAAAUUAUGAAAGAAUUAAUGUGCACAUAUCCUUAUGAAUAGAACCCCAGCUCUCUGUGACUAACGAAGUUUAAAAUAUUGAUUAAUCAUAAGCAUCUGUACUGCUGUCAGGAGCUAGUAUGUCUCAGUUGUCUGCUUUACCAAACUGGAGGUAUUGAUCCAAAUCUGAUGCCUAAAGUUCAUUAUUCUUUACUGCUCUGUUUAAAACAUUUCGAUCUUUUGCUCAUAAGAAGGAAACCACUGCAUUUAACACAGAUAACUGGCCUUGGCAUGCAAAGCAAUCAGUCAUGAACAUUGCAUCCACUAAAAAUUACUGGCUGAAUUAGUAGGUGGAUAUUUGCAACAAUGGUAUUGAUUCAAGCAAAUGUAGUCCAGUUUCCAGACGAUUCAUUAACCAACAACUGUAAUGAACAUGUAAACUCUAUAAAUUAAAGUAUUAUCUCAUAAAAGAUCUUACCUGCAAAACUGCAGAUUUCUUUCUGCACUGGGACUCCUGCUUCUUCAGUAGGGAGAGGUUAUUUUAACUGACACAGUACAACAUAUCAUAACCAAUUUCUGAAUUAUAUGAAUCAUAAGGAAGUACUAGUGAAUGUUAUGCUGAGGUUUCAAGGAGAAAGAACAAAAGUUACCUAAGUCCCUUUAACAGAAGCAAAAUAAAGGUUCUAAUGCUGAAAGAUUCGAUUAAUAUUUGGUUUUAGAUGAAUCUUUAAAAGCUUUCUUCACAGACUACUAGUGUCAGAAAGAAGAGGAAUAACAUUAUCUAGCAGAAAGAAGUGACCCUUAUUGAAUUUUAAUGAGUUUCAGGUACAGAUUUUAAGAAAACAAAUGGAAAUAUGCCAAGAAGUUAAGUUGAGAGACUCUUUGUGUUGUCUUGUGUGUCCAAAGUAUACAAGAGAGGUGAUUGAUCUGGUAAGAUGUUUGAAAUGUAUCAUUCAUAGCAUGAUCUGGGCUGCUAAUAUUUUAUCUAUCUCUACCCCGUUCUUUACAAAACAACUAAGAGAAAAAUUUGCUUACAUUUGUUCAACACCAAAGAUGCUUUUAUGCUAGGCAGCACAGAAGAAAGUUAAGAGAUAAUACUCAAGGGAGGAUGAGGCAUGGAUUUAUAGCAAGCCACAUAGAAUUCAUCAGUUUACUUUGAAACCUCACAUUAUUAAAAAAAAUUGAGGCAACAUGUACCUCUAAUACUAUCUAAUACUACACUUAAAAAAUACCACGCUAUUCCAACAUGGUUCCUUGUGACACAUGGCUUGCUACUGCUGAUAGGUGUUGUACAAAAAAGAAUGCUUGUCUUCCUCCAGGUCCCAAAAAGAAGGAGAUAAAGGGAAUAUUUUCCUUAUGGGUGUCAAAUGGGAAAAAAAAAAAACGCCAACCAAAACCAAACAAAAACCCAAAUGAAACAAACAAAACCCAAAACAACAAAAAACCCAAACCAACCAAACAAACCCAAACCCACAGAAAACUAGUGUACAUGAGUGUGGUUUGUUUCACUGUGGCACAAAUGACUCUGCCUCUGCCCAACGGGGACAGAAUGGGAAAUCUCCAAGAGAUGCACAGGCAAUGUCCCUGAAAACCUCUUAGGCUCAGUUAGAAAGCUUGUGCUCAUAAUGGACUUGAAAUCUGAUGUUAUGUAAUGUUUACUGCUCACUGUCAGCUUUGUUAAAUUUUGGUGGGAAUGAGGACUGGGAAAACCACCCCUGUCAGGUGCUACUUAGGGAAAGCAAAGGUAUGUGUUGGAAGGAGAAGCAAUAGGAGCUGAAAUGUGAACCCAAGAAGAUCACAGUCAAAUAGUUUGACUAGGAGCCAUCACAGAGCUCCAUAAAUGCCAUUACAAAUUUAGCUCAAAAUGUCUAAGGCAUUUUAAAACGUUCCACAGUCACUUAAGAUCUAGACUGGGGGAUUUUUGUGUUUGUGGAGUGUUGUUACAAUCAUAUCCUGGAAGCAAACUUAGCCAACCAUCCUAGUAAGAAAGGGUUUAGAAAAUGUUUGUAUGGAAUGAAAUCACUCCCAGAUGAAAACACAAGUACACAUUAUGGCAAGGAAGUGGUUCAGUGUCAUUGCCAUGCAGGUCUGUUCAGCUCCUUAGACAUGCAUUGCUGUAUCUGUGUUUUCUUCCUCUCCUCUAAUUGCAUCAAAAUUGGGUUAAAGCAUCAUGUUUUGCCAAACAAGCUCAGCAGAACAGGGAAUUAUUGCCCUCUGUACAACAUUAAAUUACAGAUAUCAGAUGCUGCAAAUAUUGUAACACCACAAUAAAGCUACCAACAUCAGGUAGUGGGGAUACUCUUAAUCCUUAUAAAACUAAAGAGAGUGAGUGAGAGCUCAGCUCUGUAACAGUAAGAGAAAUGUCAGAAGUGUGUCAUAAGAUAGUGUAUCUUAUAUAUUUAUAAACUAUCAUGAGGGUAAUGAGAAUUCAUCUCAAAUUUUCAAUUCUUUGCCUUUUUUCUUUUUUGAGUGUUCAUCCAUGGCAUUGGGUGGUAAAAUUAACUAACAUUCAUUAUGCCUGUCAAAGUUAUGACACUGUAUAAUAAAAUGACCUAUAAAACUAUCCUUAUUCCUUUAUAUUGAUUACUAUGUUGUUGAUUACUAUGUUGUUUCUCUGAUUGAUGAACAUGUUAUUAAUCUAUUAAUUUUAAUCAUCAAAGUAUAAGCAUAUAUCAUUUGCUUUUGUACAUGCAUAUACACAGUGCUAUUUUGAAAUAGCUAUUAGAUUAAAUAUUAUCUAGAGUUUAAGAUUAUAGUUAUCCUAAUUUUUUUUUCCUUUGAAAAUGUUCUGUCCCGUUUUGAACAAAGGUGUGUUUGUGUGUGUGUCCCUACUCAAAAUAAACCAAACAAAAACUCACAACAGCAACAACAACAAUAAAACAUAGAAAAAUUCUGGAGAAAAACAAUAUCUGAUAUGAAAUAUUGUAAUUUUUCUUGCAAUUACUUAAUAAACUAAACCCUCUACAGA